rnacentral:rRNA from 1 species
GACGAACGCUGGCGGCGUGCUUAACACAUGCAAGUCGAACGGAAAGGCCCUUCGGGGUACUCGAGUGGCGAACGGGUGAGUAACACGUGGGUGAUCUGCCCUGCACUUUGGGAUAAGCCUGGGAAACUGGGUCUAAUACCGAAUAGGACCACGCGCUUCAUGGUGUGUGGUGGCAAGCUUUUGCGGUGUGGGAUGGGCCCGCGGCCUAUCAGCUUGUUGGUGGGGUAAUGGCCCACCAAGGCGACGACGGGUAGCCGGCCUGAGAGGGUGACCGGCCACACUGGGACUGAGAUACGGCCCAGACUCCUACGGGAGGCAGCAGUGGGGAAUAUUGCACAAUGGGCGCAAGCCUGAUGCAGCGACGCCGCGUGAGGGAUGACGGCCUUCGGGUUGUAAACCUCUUUCAAUAGGGACGAAGCGCAAGUGACGGUACCUAUAGAAGAAGCACCGGCCAACUACGUG